rnacentral:rRNA from 1 species
AGUGAACGCUGGCGGUAGGCCUAACACAUGCAAGUCGAACGGCAGCACAGUAAGAGCUUGCUCUUACGGGUGGCGAGUGGCGGACGGGUGAGGAAUACAUCGGAAUCUACUUUUUCGUGGGGGAUAACGUAGGGAAACUUACGCUAAUACCGCAUACGACCUACGGGUGAAAGCAGGGAAUCUUCGGACCUUGCGCGAUUGAAUGAGCCGAUGUCGGAUUAGCUAGUUGGCGGGGUAAAGGCCCACCAAGGCGACGAUCCGUAGCUGGUCUGAGAGGAUGAUCAGCCACACUGGAACUGAGACACGGUCCAGACUCCUACGGGAGGCAGCAGUGGGGAAUAAUGGACAAUGGGCGCAAGCCUGAUCCAGCCAUACCGCGUGGGUGAAGAAGGCCUUCGGGUUGUAAAGCCCUUUUGUUGGGAAAGAAAAGCAGCAGGUUAAUACCCCGCUGUUCUGACGGUACCCAAAGAAUAAGCACCGGCUAACUUCGUG